rnacentral:rRNA from 1 species
UACGAAGGGGCUAGCGUUGUUCGGAAUCACUGGGCGUAAAGCGCACGCAGGCGGAUCGUUAAGUCGGGGGUGAAAUCCCGAGGCUCAACCUCGGAACUGCCUUCGAUACUGGCGAUCUUUGAGUCCGGGAGAGGUGAGUGGAACUCCGAGUGUAGAGGUGAAAUUCGUAGAUAUUCGGAAGAACACCAGUGGCGAAGGCGACUUACUGGACACAUAUUGACGCUGAGGUGCGAAAGCGUGGGGAGCAAACAGG